AUGGAGCACAUGUGGGUUUUUCUCUUGAUGGUGGCAGCUCCCUCAGGUGUCCUUUCUCAGGUGCAGCUGCCACUGCAGGAGGUGGGCCCAAGACUGGUGCAGCCCUCACAGACCCUGUCUCUCACCUGCACAGUCUCUGGAUUCUCUUUAAGCAGCUAUCAUAUGCACUGGAUGCGGCAGGCUCCAGGAAAAGUUCUGGAGUGGAUCGGUUUGAUAUGGAGUGGUGGAAGCACAAAGUAUAACCCAGCAUUGGCCUCCCGACUCAGCAUCACCAAGGACACCUCGAAGAGCCAAGUUUAUUUAAAGCUGAACUCCAUGACUGACAAAGACACAGCCAUCUAUUACUGUGCGAGAGACACAGAGAGUUUUGCCUGA